rnacentral:rRNA from 1 species
UACGUAGGGGGCAAGCGUUGUCCGGAUUUAUUGGGCGUAAAGAGCGUGUAGGCGGCCAUGCAGGUCAGCUGUGAAAACUCGAGGCUCAACCUCGAGACGUCGGUUGAAACCGUAUGGCUAGAGUCCGGAAGAGGAGAGUGGAAUUCCCGGUGUAGCGGUGAAAUGCGCAGAUAUCGGGAAGAACACCCGUGGCGAAGGCGGCUCUCUGGGACGGUACUGACGCUGAGACGCGACGGCGUGGGGAGCAAACCGG